rnacentral:rRNA from 1 species
UACGUAGGGGGCAAGCGUUGUCCGGAUUCAUUGGGCGUAAAGAGCGUGUAGGCGGCCAGGUAGGUCGGUUGUGAAAACUGGAGGCUCAACCUUCAGAGGUCGACCGAAACCAUCUGGCUAGAGUCCGGGAGAGGAGAGUGGAAUUCCUGGUGUAGCGGUGAAAUGCGCAGAUAUCAGGAAGAACACCGGUGGCGAAGGCGGCUCUCUGGGCCUACCUGACGCUGAGGAGCGAAAGCGUGGGGAGCAAACAGG